CAUUUAUCAUUUAUUUGCAAAAUUAAUCAUCAAAGAAGAGAUGAGUUGCAGCCGGGAAGGACAGCUUCCAAAUCUUCAAAAAGCCAGAAGACGUAAUUGUGUCACAUCAAAAACUCCCCCGUAACAGUCCUGUGCAGCAAAUUUAAUUUCCCUGCGUGGAAUGUACUCAGAUGAUUUCUAGUAAUUAGCUAUUAUUUAUUGGCAUUCUGAAUAUGUGUUUAGAUUCCUGCCCAGGUGUAAAAAUGUAUUAUUUACGCAGGAACCAACAGGCAACCACAAUCAGCAUUGGGUUUUGUUUUUUUUUCAGCCCUGGACAAGAAACUGCUUCUUAAAAUGCAUCUACAAACAGUCCUCGACUUAACGACCGUAAUUGAAGCCCCAAAUAUUCUGUUGUUAAGUGAGCGUUGUCCCAUUUUGCAGCCUUUCUUGCCUCGGUUGGUAAGCGAAUCGCUGGAGGACAUAAGUAAGCCGGGUCGUUAAGCCAGAGGGGAAUCACAUGACCUUGGGAUGCAGCAACUGUCAUAAGUAUGAACCCGUGGCCAAGCCUCUGGAUCUUUAUUCACGUGAUCGUGAGGCUCUUACCAAGGUCAUGUGAAAAAGUAUGAAAAAGUCACUUUUUUCCAGUGCCAUUGUAACUUUGAAAGGUCACUAAAUGAAACUAUUGUAAAUCAAGGAAUGCCUUGUACUUCCUUCUCCGGUGAAUUAAUUAUUGUUCUUCCUCUUGUUGUGUCCAGUCCCGUAGUUUCGUCACAGAGCUGCUCAAUUACAUUAAGAAUGCAAAAGUGGUCCUUUUGGAAGAUCUGGCUUCUCACCUGGGCCUCAGAACACAGGAUGCCAUCAACAGGGUGCAAGACCUGAUGGCAGACGGCACGCUCACAGGUGAGUGCCAACACCUGACGGGAUUUCCUGGUCUUGUAUAGGCCAAAGCAGAUGUCUCCACCGAGCCAUCU
rnacentral:lncRNA from 1 species